rnacentral:rRNA from 1 species
CGCGGGAUGCAGGCAACCUGCAAAGAUGUGGCGUCCUUGUGGCCGGUAUACAGGUGGUGCAUGUGUGUCUUCAGCUCGCGUCUUGAGAUAUAGGGUUAAGUCCCGCAACCAGCGCAACCCCUAUCUUAUUUUUCCUGCCCGUUAUGGUGGGGAAUCGUAAGAAACUGCCGGGGUCAACUCGGAAGAAGGGGGGGACUAACUCCAGUCAUCAUGGCCCUUAUGUCCAGGGGUUCACACAUGCUACAAUGGCCAGUACAAAAGGCUGCCAAACCCUGAGGUGGAACGAAUCCCUUAAAGCUGGUCUCACUUCGGAUCGGGGUCUGCCACCCCCCCCCCCUGAAGUCGGAGUCGCUAGUAAUCGCAGAUCAACAACCCUGCGGUGAAUACCUUCCCCGGUCUUGUACACACCGAAGA